AAUAUUGCGCAAUGGCCGCAAGGCUGACGCAGCGACGCCGCGAGGAGGAUUACGCCUUUCGGGGUGUAAACUCCUGUUGAUCGGGACGAACCAUUGGUUUAGACCCAUCUGACGGUACCUGUUGAGGAAGCAUCUGCUAAUUCCGUGCCAGUAGCCGCGGUAAUACGGAGGGUGCGAGCGUUGUCCGGAAUCACUGGGCGUAAAGGGCGCGUAGGCGGUCUGGUAAGCGUGUGGUGACAGCCCGGGGCUCAACCCCGGGUCUGCCGUGCGAACUGCUGGACUAGAGCACUGUAGAGGCAGGUGGAAUUCCGAGUGUAGCGGUGGAAUGCGUAGAGAUUCGGAGGAACACCGGUGGCGAAGGCGGCCUGCUGGGCAGUGUCUGACGCUGAGGCGCGACAGCGUGGGGAGCAAACAGG
rnacentral:rRNA from 1 species